CAAAGGCAUGGUCCUGACCUUAUUAUCAGCUCUUACCCGACUUACACAUGCAAGUCUCCGCAAUCCCGUGAGUAUGCCCUCAAUCCCCUGCCCGGGGACGAGGAGCGGGCAUCAGGCACAAAUUUUAGCCCAAGACGCCUGGCCAAGCCACACCCCCAAGGGAAUUCAGCAGUGAUAAACAUUAAGCCAUAAGUGAAAACUUGACUCAGUCAAGGUAAAGAGGGCCGGUAAAACUCGUGCCAGCCACCGCGGUUAAACGAGAGGCCCUAGUUGAUAAAACCACGGCGUAAAGGGUGGUUAAGGAAAGCAAAACAAAUUAAAGCCAAAUGGCCCUUUGGCCGUCAUACGCUUCUAGGUGUCCGAAGCCCAAUUAUACGAAAGUAGCUUAUAAAGCCCACC
rnacentral:rRNA from 1 species